GAGUGGAUCUGAGAACACAAGG
rnacentral:miRNA from 1 species